CUCAUUCGGAUUGGAGUCUGCAACCCGACUCCAUGAAGCUGGAUUCGCUAGUAAUCGCGCAUCAGCCACGGCGCGGUGAAUACGUUCCCGGGCCUUGUACACACCGCCCGUCAAGCCAUGGAAGCCGGGGGUGCCUGAAGUGCGUGACCGCAAGGAGCGCCCUAGGGUAAAACCGGUGACUGGGGCUAAGUCGUAACAAGGUAAC
rnacentral:rRNA from 1 species